CCUAACCUAUGGACGGGAAUAACCUCGGGAAACUGAGAAUAAUGCCCGAUAGAACAUUAUACCUGGAAUGGUUUAUGUUCCAAAUGAUUUAUCGCCGUAGGAUGGGACUGCGGCCUAUCAGUUUGUUGGUGAGGUAAUGGCCCACCAAGACUAUUACAGGUACGGGCUCUGAGAGGAGUAGCCCGGAGAUGGGUACUGAGACACGGACCCAGGCCCUAUGGGGCGCAGCAGGCGAGAAAACUUUGCAAUGUGCGAAAGCACGACAAGGUUAAUCCGAGUGAUUUCUGCUAAAGAAAUCUUUUGUUAGUCCUAGAAACACUAACGAAUAAGGGGUGGGCAAGUUCUGGUGU
rnacentral:rRNA from 1 species